UGGUGGAUACUCUACCAUCUUGGGCUGUAUAUAAGACCCAAGGAUCGAAGAGGUCGGCACCUCAUUGAGUUAGCAGGCAGUUGAAAAACAACCAAGAAUGCAGAAAGUUGCGUAUCUUAUCUUCGUAGUGGCUCUUGCUGCCAUCGCCUCGGCCACUUAUUAUGGCGGACUCGGUUACGGACUCGGUUAUAACCUCGGAUACGGAUAUAAACUUGGCUACGGGGGUUAUGGCCUCGGUUAUGGCGGCUACGGUCUCGGCUACCGUCUCGGCUACCCCGCUUAUGGUGCUUAUUAUGGUGGCUAUUGGAAGAAAUAGUCGGCGCCGAAGAAACAGUGAACGUCACUGGAUAUAUGACGGAAAUCAUUAUUGAGACUGGUGACAACGAAAGGAGAGAUCGUUACGAUUAUUUGAUUGUCAAAAUUGAUUUACCUCGCUUUCGAAAUUAAUCAUUAAGUUUUUGAUUUACGUUUCCAAUAAAUAAUUUUGGUACGAGAAGAGUU